GUCACGCCCUAAACGAUGCCAACUAGGUGUUGGGAAGGAGACUUCCUUAGUACAGUAGCUAACGCGUGAAGUUGGCCGCCUGGGGAGUACGGUCGCAAGAUUAAAACUCAAAGGAAUUGACGGGACCCGCACAAGCGGUGGAUGAUGUGGAUUAAUUCGAUGCAACGCGAAAACCUUAACCUACCCUUGACAUGCCAGGAACUUUCCAGAGAUGGAUUGGUGCUCGAAAGAGAGCCUGGACACAGGUGCUGCAUGGCUGUCGU
rnacentral:rRNA from 1 species